UACGUAGGGUGCAAGCGUUGUCCGGAAUUAUUGGGCGUAAAGAGCUCGUAGGCGGUCUGUCGCGUCUGCUGUGAAAACUCAGGGCUUAACCCUGAGCUUGCAGUGGGUACGGGCAGACUAGAGUGCGGUAGGGGAGACUGGAAUUCCUGGUGUAGCGGUGAAAUGCGCAGAUAUCAGGAGGAACACCGGUGGGCCGAAGGCGGGUCUCUGGGCCGUAACUGGACGCUGGAGGGAAGCGAAAGCAUGGGGAGCGGACAGG
rnacentral:rRNA from 1 species